rnacentral:rRNA from 1 species
UACGUAGGGACCAAGCGUUGUUCGGAUUUACUGGGCGUAAAGGGCGCGUAGGCGGCAAUUCAAGUCAGUUGUGAAAUCUCCGAGCUUAACUCGGAACGGUCAACUGAUACUGUCUUGCUAGAGUACAGAAGGGGCAAUCGGAAUUCUUGGUGUAGCGGUGAAAUGCGUAGAUAUCAAGAGGAACACCUGAGGUGAAGACGGGUUGCUGGGCUGAUACUGACGCUGAGGCGCGAAGCUAGGGUAGCAAACGGGAUUAGAUACCC